rnacentral:lncRNA from 1 species
ACACUAAAUUGCUUUCUUUGAGGAGGGAAUGGUUCGGGUUGUAUCAAUUAGUAAAUAACCGAUGUAGGACUACAUACAUUUUCAUCCAUAUUCUCACAUACUCUCUCCAUUUAAGCCAUGACGUCCUCAUUAGGUCAAAGAUUUAAAUCUAUUCAAAUCUAAUCACAAGUACCACGAUCGAUCUGUGGUUAGUUCUAAUGAAUCUGUACUGCAGUGUCCCUUAGUCCAUAUUGGUUGUGGGUCGAAUUUGCUCUAAUACCAUUUGUAAUAAUUCAGGAUCUUCCCUAAAAUGGUUAGCCAAAAAGUACUAUUUGGAUUUCUUGAUUCUGUAUAAGUAUCCAAUAUCUAUCUAGCGAAUAAUCGGUCUAGGACUAAAUACACGUCCGCACGGAUCCUUGUAAUCUUUUUUACGGUAUCAACCAUUGGACCGCAUCUUGCACGUAUUUCAAAGCACUCAAAUAUUUUUCUUCCAUCUAUCUGCAUGGAUCUCAAAGCAGAUGUUGCAAGAUCUAAUAGUUGAUGUCGCACAAUCUUAUAAUAAAGUAAUCAUAUUUGUACUCCAUUGAAUUUGCUUAUUUUUUUUAAAUUUAGAAGUUUGUUUUUUAUUUGUGGAUGAUGAUCAUGAUAUAAUAUUUUUUUAUCUUGCUCGGAUAAAUUUUGUAUACUAGAGUCAUGUCU